UAAACGGCCCUUUUCAGGGCCAUAACAUUUACAACUUUUUUUUUUC
rfam:Culex pipiens quinquefasciatus supercont3.16 genomic scaffold, whole genome shotgun sequence.